UUUGGUGGCGAUAGCGGAGGGGUUCCACACGUACCCAUCCCGAACACGACCGUUAAGCCCUCCAGCGCCGAUGGUACUUGGACCGCAGGGUCCUGGGA
rnacentral:rRNA from 1 species